rnacentral:rRNA from 1 species
GGCGGACGGGUGAGUAACGCGUAAGGAACUUGCCUCUUGGACUGGGACAACUGUUGGAAACGACAGCUAAUACCGGAUAUUAUGAGAUUCUCGCAUGAGAAAUUUAUGAAAGCUAUAUGCGCCAAGAGAGAGCCUUGCGUUCCAUUAGCUAGUUGGUGGGGUAACGGCCCACCAAGGCGACGAUGGAUAGCCGGCCUGAGAGGGUGAACGGCCACAAGGGGACUGAGACACGGCCCUUACUCCUACGGGAGGCAGCAGUGGGGAAUAUUGGACAAUGGGCCACAAGCCUGAUCCAGCAAUUCUGUGUGCACGAUGAAAGUCUUCGGAUUGUAAAGUGCUUUCAGUUGGGAAGAAGAAAGUGACGGUACCAACAGAAGAAGCGACGGCUAAAUACGUGCCAGCAGCCGCGGUAAUACGUAUGUCGCAAGCGUUAUCCGGAUUUAUUGGGCGUAAAGCGCGUCUAGGCGGAAAAAUAAGUCUGAUGUUAAAAUGCGGGGCUCAACUCCGUAUUGCGUUGGAAACUGUUUUUCUAGAGUACUGGAGAGGUGGGCGGAACUACAAGUGUAGAGGUGAAAUUCGUAGAUAUUUGUAGGAAUGCCGAUGGAGAAGUCAGCUCACUGGACAGAUACUGACGCUGAAGCGCGAAAGCGUGGGGAGCAAACAGGAUUAGAUACCCUGGUAGUCCACGCCGUAAACGAUGAUCACU